UGGGGAAUUUUGGACAAUGGGCGAAAGCCUGAUCCAGCAAUGCCGCGUGUGUGAAGAAGGCCUUCGGGUUGUAAAGCACUUUUGUCCGGAAAGAAAUCCUUGGCUCUAAUACAGUCGGGGGAUGACGGUACCGGAAGAAUAAGCACCGGCUAACUACGUGCCAGCAGCCGCGGUAAUACGUAGGGUGCAAGCGUUAAUCGGAAUUACUGGGCGUAAAGCGUGCGCAGGCGGUUUGCUAAGACCGAUGUGAAAUCCCCGGGCUCAACCUGGGAACUGCAUUGGUGACUGGCAGGCUAGAGUAUGGCAGAGGGGGGUAGAAUUCCACGUGUAGCAGUGAAAUNCGUAGAGAUGUGGAGGAAUACCGAUGGCGAAGGCCAGCCCCCAUGGGCCAAUACUGACGCUCAUGCACGAAAGCGUGGGGAGCAAACAGGAUUAGAUAGCCGUGGUAGUCCACCGCCCUAAAACGAUGUCAACUAGUUGUUGGGGAUUCAUUUCCUUAGUAACGUAGCUAACGCGUGAAGUUGACCGCCUGGGGAGUACGGUCGCAAGAUUAAAACUCAAAUGAA
rnacentral:rRNA from 1 species